AUUUGAAAGUAUAUUUCCAAAAUGCUAUUUCCACAAAUGUUUCACAUGUGUUUUUUCAUCAGAAAUGAUUGCUUAUGGGUACCUUCACGUAUUGCAAGAUCACAAUAGCACGGAGCUACAUUGCACUGUCUAUCCGAGACUGCUAAAUAAUUAGCUACAGUGGCUGCUUCUGAUGAUUCCUCUUUCCAAGAAGAGCUGGACAACGACAACAUUUUAUGAUGUUUUAUUUACUUAGGAACAUACAUCCCUAUUUAUUUGAGCCGGAAUAGACUGAAGAGGAGUUGAGACAGCAAGAAAAAUAAUUGCAAGACCAGCAAGCAGCAGUGUCAGCUUAUACUAGCUGGACCAGGACUCAGAAGGGCAAAUGACAAACGAACAAUACCGCUUGGAUACAAGGAAGUUGAAGACUCUCAAGAGGAGAUGUGAAAGUUCGUCUUGUAUGUUUCUAAGUCAACCAGCGUUUUUCAAGCUUUUUGCAUUCUCCUUUUUCUACCCGCCUGCCUGACCAUUCUGCCUGCCUUGACCACGAGCCUGUCUGCCACUCUGUACCUCCUGGACUCUGAUCUGGUUUUGACCUUUU
rnacentral:lncRNA from 1 species